UCGAACGGCAGCGCGGGGAGCUUGCUCCCUGGCGGCGAGUGGCGCACGGGUGAGUAAUACAUCGGAACGUGUCUUCUAGUGGGGGAUAACUGCCCGAAAGGGCAGCUAAUACCGCAUGAGACCUGAGGGUGAAAGCGGGGGAUCGCAAGACCUCGCGCUGGAAGAGCGGCCGAUGUCCGAUUAGCUAGUUGGUGAGGUAAAGGCUCACCAAGGCGACGAUCGGUAGCUGGUCUGAGAGGACGACCAGCCACACUGGGACUGAGACACGGCCCAGACUCCUACGGGAGGCAGCAGUGGGGAAUUUUGGACAAUGGGGGCAACCCUGAUCCAGCCAUGCCGCGUGCAGGAUGAAGGUCUUCGGAUUGUAAACUGCUUUUGUCAGGGACGAAAAGGGAUGCGAUAACACCGCAUUCCGCUGACGGUACCUGAAGAAUAAGCACCGGCUAACUACG
rnacentral:rRNA from 1 species